rnacentral:tRNA from 1 species
GCGGCCAUAGCUCAAUGGAUAGAGCAUUUGGCUUCGGACCAAAGGGUUGGGGGUUCGAGUCCCUCUGGCCGCACCA